AAGACUAUACUUUCAGGGAUCAUUUCUAUAGUUUGUAACUCGUGGAAUGUGAUCGAAAGUGUCUAAACUCAGUAACCACAAGGAAGAGAUUCAGGGUUUUCUCCUGAGCAUGAGAUGAGUUCCUGGUUACUUUUGAUGAAUGUUCUGGGUUUCUUAAAUGGGACUUAGAACAGAGAAAACCCAAUCUGAGUGGUG